rnacentral:lncRNA from 1 species
UUAGAAUUGGUUUAGAAUUUGUUUAGAAUUUGAUUAGGAUUUGUUUAAGAUUUUUUUAGGAUUUGUUUAGAUUUUGGUUAAGGUUUGGUUAGGAUUUGGUUAAGGUUUUUUUAGGAUUUGAUUAGAGUUUGGUUAGAAUUUGAUUAGAGUUUGAUUAAGAUUUGAUUAGGAUUUGGUUAGGAUUUAUUUAGGAUUUGCUUAGAGUUUGGUUAGAAUUUGUUUAGGAUUUGGUUAGGAUUUGAUUAGAAUUUGAAUUAGAAUUUAAUUAGGUUUUGACUAAGAUUUAAUUAAGAUUUCUAUUUUAAUAUUUUAUCAAAAUUUCUAUUUUAGUAUAUUUUUGAAUUCUAUGUUAUUUCUUUAUGAUUUUUUUAAAAGAUCUUUAGGAAUACUUUGUAUUUCUUACAUAAUUCCUUUGAAAUUUUGAUUGAAUUUGAUUGAUGUUUGAUUAUAUUUGCUAAUCAUUAGUUUUAAUUUGUUUAAGAAUCUAUUAGAGUUGUUAGAAAUUGUUAUGGCAAUUUUCCUUUUAUCUUCCACAAUCAAGUGCCUAGUGCAUUCUCAAGCCAAAUACCUUGUGAUACAA